rnacentral:lncRNA from 1 species
AUGUCUAAGAAGACCGUGCCCUGGUCAAGAGACUACCCUUGCUGCUUUGUCCAAGAGACAGGUCCGCCUCGGUCUGAAGCCAGCAGUGUGGCAGACACCUGGGGAACAGUACCCACUUACAUUAAGAAGCCUCUUAAACGUUCUCUGGACCUAUUUUCUGGCUGUAGAAUGAAGAGGCUAGAUUAUAUGAUCUCCAAGUUGUCGUCGUUUUUGCUCCGUUGUGUGGGGCUAUGGAACUCAGAUGGUGCCCACCCAGUUCUCCUCCCGAGCCCACCUGCUGGUGGUGCCAUCCGUGGGAAUGAGUGCCACUGUGGAGACCCCUGUUUUAGAAGCUCCAUAUUUCCCAAGCUUGUUCACAGGCUGGGCUGUGAUUCUCCAGGAGAGCUUUCCACUCCGUUCAUUCCUCAGAGAUCCGAGUCUCUCCAGAGAGAUUGGUGGCAGGGUGGGGGCGGGGCAAUGACACCAGGAUGUGCCUUUCUGAACACUCUUCCCAAGGUCUACAGAUGAGCAAGGGAGGGUCAGAAGGUGCCCUGGGGACUCACCUGCUUAUUGGAUCUUGGAACUCCUUGCCAGGCCCCCAACUGUGUCUUUUGAAGGAGUCAGUAGUGUAACUGCGGGCACGGAAAGCCCCGGACCUUCUAAGGAGUGAUGUGUGGAAGCCAUCCUUGUUGUCUUCCUGGUUUUCCUCCCUCCCCUCCACUUCCUCCAGCUGUUCUCUGGAUUCCACAGCAGCUGGGCAGCACUGAGGGAGACCAUGAGGCACUGGGUCUUCACCUAUGAAGGACUCCCCUGGGACCGAUCUGUUCAUGGAAGGUACUCGGAGACAGCCCUGAAUCAAGAAGAAAGAGGUGAGGGCUGGCAAGAUGGCUUGGUGGGUAAGAACACUGACUGCUCUUCCAGAGGACCUGAGUUCAAAUCCCAGCAACCACAUGGUGGCUCACAACCACCCAUAAUAAGAUCUGAUGCCCUCUUCUGGCGCAUCUGAAGACAGCUACAGUGUACUUAUGUAUAAUAAUAAAUAAAUCUUAGAAAGAAAGAAAGAAAGAAAG